GAUGAAGAACGUAGCAAAAUGCGAUAAGUAAUGUGAAUUGCAGAAUUCAGUGAAUCAUCGAGUCUUUGAACGCACAUUGCGCCCCCUGGUAUUCCGGGGGGCAUGCCUGUCCGAGCGUCAUUGCCGCCCUCAAGCACGGCUUGUGUGUUGGGCCCCCGCCCCCCGGCUUCGGGGGGCGGGCCCGAAAGGCAGCGGCGGCACCGCGUCCGGUCCUCGAGCGUAUGGGGCUUCGUCACCCGCUCUGUAGGCCCGGCCGGCGCCCGCCGGCGACCCCAAUCAAUCUUUCCAGGUUGACCUCGGAUCAGGUAGGGAUACCCGCUGAACUUAAGCAUAUCAAUAAGCGGAGGA
rnacentral:misc_RNA from 1 species